UCUGACAGAUAUGAGGUGAUAUUUCAUUUUUCAAAGAAGACAUAACAGAUGGCCAAACGAUACUUGAAGAGAAAAAGCCAAAUGAAAUUUAGAGGAGUUCUAAUUGCUAAUAAAGGAAUGCCAUCUGACAAUUACAGCCAGAAGUAGCCGUAUGUCUCCAACCACAGGAAAUCAAAGGAGGCUUCAUGCAUUUCUGGUGGACGUGAAGACAGCUGUAUUCAUUUUGCAGAAAAACAUGACAAUACCUAGUCAAGAAUUGGAUCUUUCUGCUCACCUUGGGACCAUCGUCACCAUGAAGACAGAGAUUCCAGUCUUGUCCAGCUUCUCUGUAUCCUUGUUGCCAUUUUGGUACUUAAUGCAUUUUUCUUCUUCCUCCUUAUUUGCAUGAUUUCCAUUCACUCUGUGGUCCAUUUGAAUCUUAUCCCAGUGUGCCUCUUGAAGAAUGGUUUGCUUAAACUGCUUGUGGCAAAGAACAAAGCAUAAAAGGGAAAAUCAUUUCUAGAGUGAAACUUCUCCAUUCACAUUUUUGAGCAACAUUUGCUCAAGGUCUUAAGGAUAUAAUCCAAGCAAAAAAAAAAAAAUCUGUCUGUGGCUGCUGGACCACAGAUGCUCAGUGAGCCCUCAAAAAUACACUCUUGCAGUCUGUUUCCUCUUGCUAGGAACUAUUCCCUUUGGAAUGUCAGAUUGUCCCCUAAACUGAUGAUUAAGAAUGAAAAAUUAAACUUUAGGGAAGGCACGGAAUUUCAAGUAAACAAGUUCUUGACUUCUUCCUUAGUGUUCUGUAUGUAGAAGACAAAUGUGAUUUUCUUUAAUAUCUAAAACUUCUCAAUUACAAAAUUCUCUAAGCUCUCUUGACUUUCAAAUUUGAAUGUCUAUCAGAGCUGGAAGCAUUCAGUGUUUGUUUUACACAUUGUCUCUUGUGCCUAGAAGAUAAUAUAUGCUUAAUAAAUGUAAUUUUUGUUGAAUAAAUAAGUAAAUGCUCUGGUUCAAAGAGAAGAUAAGAAUGCAUUGGA